rnacentral:rRNA from 1 species
AUUGAACGCUGGCGGCAUGCCUUACACAUGCAAGUCGAACGGCAGCACGGGAGCAAUCCUGGUGGCGAGUGGCGAACGGGUGAGUAAAGUAUCGGAACGUGCCCAGUCGUGGGGGAUAACGUAGCGAAAGUUACGCUAAUACCGCAUACGAUCUAUGGAUGAAAGCGGGGGAUCGCAAGACCUCGCGCGAUUGGAGCGGCCGAUAUCAGAUUAGGUAGUUGGUGGGGUAAAGGCUCACCAAGCCGACGAUCUGUAGCUGGUCUGAGAGGACGACCAGCAACACUGGGACUGAGACACGGCCCAGACUCCUACGGGAGGCAGCAGUGGGGAAGUUUGGACAAUGGGUGAAAGCCUGAUCCAGCCAUUCCGCGUGCAGGAUGAAGGCCCUCGGGUUGUAAACUGCUUUUGUACAGAACGAAAAGGUUUCUACUAAUACUAGGAGCUCAUGACGGUACUGUAAGAAUAAGCACCGGCUAACUACGUGCCAGCCGCCGCAGUAA